rnacentral:piRNA from 1 species
AAGAAAUGGCUGCCGCGCUCUGGG